CAAACACGGAGCGGCAGUGACUAAAAAAGCCAAAGGCGAUGCUUCAGCCGCACUGAACACAUUUUCAUGGAAGUCCUGCCAUUUUAUGGCACAAGAGCCCGAGGAAACUGAGGUUUUGGCUUCUCUUUAGCUAAAGGGAAAGCCUUCUCGGGGCCUGCGUUGCCGCUGCAGAGGGACUUCGGGUCUCAAAGGUUGGUUUUACCUUAAUUUGGGAAGCAUGGCCUGCAGUUCUUCAUAGGAGAGUUUGAGUCCAAUUUCCGGGAUUGCAACAAAGAAACUGAAUUGAAGGUAGCAAAAUGCUGCAAGGAACCCAGGGCAAGGAAGGCCACGUCUUCAGCUUCUUUCUUAUUUUGUAAUAUAUAGGUGUAACACUACACACAGUCCUUCAAGCACUCCUUUGACCUCUUCCUCCGUGGUUUAUAUUUGGAGACUCCGAUGUUAAUCAUGUCUGUUCAUCUGCAUCUGCUUCCUCCACAAGGUAAUACUUUGACAUUUAUCAUAUUCCAGACACUUGUCUGGAGGAUGGUACUUUCUUCUCCUUCUCCUGUUUCUUCAGAAGCUCAAGUAAAUCAUAUCUGUGGAUACAACAAUGAAACAUUCAGAAAGAAAAUUGAGAGGUCCCUGGGUGGCCCAGGUGAUUAAGUAUCUGCCUUCAGCUCAGGUCAUGAUCUCCAGGUCCUGGAUCAAGCUCCUCACUGUACUUCCCUUCCUUAGCAGGGAGUCUGCUUCUGUUUCUCUCUCCCUCUGCCUCUCCCUACCACCUAUCUCCCUACCUCUCCUUACCUGUCUCUCUCUCAAAUAAAUAAAUAAAAUCUUUUAAAAA